CACUCCUGUUUUCAAUUGCGGUCAAUAAGCGUGCCCAGCGCGUUCUUCACGACUCUUCGGCCUACACUCCAAAAGAUUACUUCGGGCACGUGCAUCACCUGCUCCAGGAUCGACUGCUAUUGCUUCUACAUUCCCUCGCCGGUGGCGUCCUGCUGGUAGACUGGAAUUGUCUCCCCGAUCUGCACUACUACUGCUUCUGCACUCCUGUUUUCAAUUGCGGUCAACAAGCGUACCCAGCGCGUUCUUCACGACUCUUCGGCCUACACUCCAAAAGAUUACUUCGGGCACGUGCAUCACCUGCUCCAGGAUCGACUGCUAUUGCUUCUACAUUCCCUCGCCGGUGGCGUCCUGCUGGUAGACUGGAAUUGUCUCCCCGAUCUGCACUACUACUGCUUCUGCACUCCUGUUUUCAAUUGCGGUCAACAAGCGUACCCAGCGCGUUCUUCACGACUCUUCGGCCUACACUCCAAAAGAUUACUUCGGGCACGUGCAUCACCUGCUCCAGGAUCGACUGCUAUUGCUUCUACAUUCCCUCGCCGGUGGCGUCCUGCUGGUAGACUGGAAUUGUCUCCCCGAUCUGCACUACUACUGCUUCUGCACUCCUGUUUUCAAUUGCGGUCAAUAAGCGUGCCCAGCGCGUUCUUCACGACUCUUCGGCCUACACUCCAAAAGAUUACUUCGGGCACGUGCAUCACCUGCUCCAGGAUCGACUGCUAUUGCUUCUACAUUCCCUCGCCGGUGGCGUCCUGCUGGUAGACUGGAAUUGUCUCCCCGAUCUGCACUACUACUGCUUCUGCACUCCUGUUUUCAAUUGCGGUCAACAAGCGUACCCAGCGCGUUCUUCACGACUCUUCGGCCUACACUCCAAAAGAUUACUUCGGGCACGUGCAUCACCUGCUCCAGGAUCGACUGCUAUUGCUUCUACAUUCCCUCGCCGGUGGCGUCCUGCUGGUAGACUGGAAUUGUCUCCCCGAUCUGCACUACUACUGCUUCUGCACUCCUGUUUUCAAUUGCGGUCAAUAAGCGUGCCCAGCGUGCUCUUCACGACUCUUCGGUAUACGCUCGAAAAGAUUAUUUCGGGCACGAGCUCCACCCGUUCCAUGAGCGACUGCUAUUGCUUCUACAUUCCCUCGCCGGUGGCGUCCUGCUGGUAGACUGGAAUUGUCUCCCCGACCUGCACAACUACUGCUUCUGCACUCCUGUUUUCAAUUGCUGUCAACAAGCGUGCCCAGUGCGCUCUUCACGACUCUUCGGUAUACGCUCCAAAAGAUUAUUUCGGGCACGAGCUUCACCCGUUCCAUGAGCGACUGCUAUUGCUUCUGCGUUCUCUCGCCGAUGGCGUCCUGCUGGCAGACUGGACUGAGCCUGGCGCCCUUGCACUUAAUUCUGGUUCCCAGUGUUUGCUGUAGCUUGUGGCGCAAGAGAAACGUUCCAGCACUCUCAUUUACAAGAACAUUCCUGGCCUUGCCUCACGAGCAACUCUCAUCAGCCCGGUUGUGCUGCCGCGUGCUCUAUACAAGAAGCUUCCUCGCACUAGUGAACGCGUCGCACGCCUGUCUUGGCGGUGUCCUGCACUGUCAACGGCGUGUUCAUGCUCUGAAGGACUGCGUGUGGUCACCGUACCGAGACCGUCCAUCGGAUGGGCUCCUACAGUUCGCUGUUGCCUUAUUCCGCAGGCAUAUUUAAGUUUUGUGUAGCAAACUUUUCUGUUUUGGAAGAGUGGUACGUUGCUCAGCGAAUGGAUAGCGCUUCUAGGAAUGGGGUAAUACGAAGCCGAACAGUAAAGGUCUGGUUAAAUUGACACCACUCGGUACUUAAUAAUGACUGUCGAUGUUUUCAUGAGCCGAUCUGUAAAUUUUUGGUGGCGAGAGUAAUGGACAUUCAUUCAUUGUACUCUUUCGUAGUAGUAGUGUGUGUGUGUGUGUGUGUGUGUGUGUGUGUGUGUGUGUGUGUGUGUGUGUGUGUGUGU